UGAGUAAUACAUCGGAACGUGUCUUCUAGUGGGGGAUAACUGCCCGAAAGGGCAGCUAAUACCGUAUGAGACCUGAGGGUGAAAGCGGGGGAUCGCAAGACCUCGCGCUGGAAGAGCGGCCGAUGUCCGAUUAGCUAGUUGGUGAGGUAAAGGCUCACCAAGGCGACGAUCGGUAGCUGGUCUGAGAGGACGACCAGCCACACUGGGACUGAGACACGGCCCAG
rnacentral:rRNA from 1 species